UGACGGUACUUGCAGAAGAAGCGCCGGCUAACUACGUGCCAGCAGCCGCGGUAAUACGUAGGGCGCAAGCGUUAUCCGGAAUUAUUGGGCGUAAAGAGCUCGUAGGCGGUUUGUCGCGUCUGCUGUGAAAGCCCGGGGCUCAACUCCGGUUCUGCAGUGGGUACGGGCAGACUAGAGUGCAGUAGGGGAGACUGGAAUUCCUGGUGUAGCGGUGAAAUGCGCAGAUAUCAGGAGGAACACCGAUGGCGAAGGCAGGUCUCUGGGCUGUAACUGACGCUGAGGAGCGAAAGCAUGGGGAGCAAACAGGAUUAGAUACCCUGGUAGUCCACCCCGUAAACGUUGGGCACUAGGUGUGGGGGACAUUCC
rnacentral:rRNA from 1 species